UCGAGGGGGUGUUUGUGGUAGUUUAAAAAAUAAAUUUCCGUACUACGGAGGGUACUACCAACAUUUCAGUAGAAAAAGAGCUUCAACCAGUGUCGGAUAAUUCGGAUACGUGGUACCGAAAGCAAGGCAACUACCCCCAAAAACAAGCAUGACUGCCGCAUAGAGUCUGUCUAAUGAAGUGUAGCGCCCAACAACCCUUAGUCCAUCCUGACCAGACGUUCGAAGUGUGUCAUGUAAUGUUUCAGGGAAAUGAGUCAAUUGUGAACGUGGAAAUAAUAAUUAAAGUCGAGAUUUUACAGCGUGUGAAGUAGAUAUAAAACUACCCCCGUAAAAUUUGAUUGAAGGAACGGAAUGUUUAUGGAAUUAUCCUAGUGCUCUGUGGAGUUAUUUUCCGGAUUCUGGUGGUAAAAACUAUCUGAAAUUCGGUGGAAGUGUCAAAGUGAUUCCGUUGAGACUCAGUGAAUGACUUGAAAGGAUAAUACGUGUUUUUUGUGGCGCUGAUUCUAAUAAAAACCUGUCAAAAUGGCAUUCGGAGUUCAAAAUGCGGAUCCCCCAUCAUCGUCAGCAGCAUCAGGCGCCCGUUGCCUACCUCCAGCCUGUGAACAAUAAUGGCAUCAUUAACGCCAACACAUUAUCCGAGUCGGCACAAAUAGCAACAGUGAAUUCAACAAUAUCAUCGUCAUCCCCUUCGUUGACGCUGACAUCAUCGACAACAGGAACAAGAGCCUUGCGCGAGAGUUCAACAAUCACCAACUAUUCAUCACACUUGAGGAAUCUGAAUGGUAACGACAACGGCAACGAUAACGAUAAUCGCUCUGAAUCCUCCAACACUUUCACCACCGGGGAAUUGAUCAAGCCCGAUGACAACGUGAAUUUAAUGCUGUCGUCGGCAACAAUCAACUACAAUCACGCUCUCAAGUACGCAAAAAAUCAAAAUCUGAACCAGAACCAUCUGACGCUGAAUCAAAACCAUCGACAGAAUCUGAAUCUGCUCCAUCAGAACUUAAAUCAAAAUCAGGAUAAUCUCAAUCAGAGGAGCGCUCCCGGCAGUUUCGUUCCCGGAAGACCCACUGAAACACUUUAUAAUAACUUGAAUCAAUUGAACAAUAGGAGUUUCAGACACGGCACCAAAACGGAUGCAACAAGGACUCAGAAUCUCAUUGGCAACAAUGGGAAUGACUACGUCAACAAAGAAGAUACAACGGCGACAGCCAUGCAGGAAGUUUUUGAAGGAAACUUGAAUGUGCUGGUGGCAGAGGAGGAAAGCACACAAAUAGGGCAGAGAAUUAUUACGCCUGUUUCAAACAUAUCGGAAAGACUUUCAAGGAAUCGUACAGAAUUCGAAUUGGACUCAUCCACCAAAGAUUGUGAUAGCGAAGUGGAGCAUGAAUCGGGGGCGACAAAUGAAAAUGAGGAUGAUAUCCUUCCGAGCACAGAAGAAAAACUCCAAAAUAUCGCCAUCAUAGAACCGAAUUCGGAAGGAGUUGAAUACGAUGACGAAGAAUUCGAGGAAGAUGAGGUCAAGGUUUCCGAAAACCGUAUCCGCCCAAGCUCCAACAAAAUCGACAACACAAACGUGAACGACCAAACUGAAAAUCGUCCUGUUGGCAGUAGUAGCGGUGACAUUAAAAAUCCCGAACCUACCCCCAGCAAUUCACUGAACAAACAUUCGUGCCGGAGCCAAACAACAAAUUCCACAAAAACUAACAUCACAACAGGUGCUCCGAGCACGGAAAAUUUGAAUUUGAACAGCAUCCGCUUGGGAGGGUUGGGCGAAGGACAAAAUGACAUUUCGGUCGAGUUGACUCGUGAGAAUUUCACCAAGCUGGAUCUAGAUAAAAAUUUGCAAGAACAACAGCAGCAACAUCAGCAUCAACAGUCGGUACAGCUGCAGGACCGACAUCGAGAACAUUAUAACCAUCCACGUGCCACUUGUCCCAGGAGCAGCUAUCAACGUCAUCAGGAGAAUUCUUUAUCGUCGAAUUCGGCUGAAUCUAGUCCUGAUGAUAGUCUUAUGGAUGACGAAGAUGCCUUCUCUGAAACACCAUCGACAUGUACAUCCUUGGAUUCACCCGAGCCAGGACACUAUCCCCGAGGAAUUAUAAAUCCAAAUUAUCCAGGAUUUCAACAUUUAGCCCAUACCCUCUCGGAGCACUUUGUCAAUCAUCAUUUGGAUCAGGACGACAGUGAUUUAUCUGAAUUUGAAGUGGAAUUGAGUGUAGAAAGUUUAGAUGAAAGUUUUGCAAGCUAUCACCAUAAUAACAAUAUGAUAGACAGCACUCCGAACAAUAACAAUGAUAACGAGCACGACAAGCGGGAGGAUGAGGACAGAAGUAGUAAGUCUGCGAUGGAUACUUCACAGGACAGUAUCCAGGAUUAUCAUGAUCACGUGAACUAUAAUACGAGCACGGAUGAUAUGAAAGAUACUCGCCUGAGCAAGGAGCUUAACCUUCCAGAGAUUCAAAUUUAUGAAACCGACACCAAACGUCAGAGUUCAAAAAAGGAUAACCAUCUAACGAAAGAGAACUGCACCCUGCUACAGGACAAGACCAUCUCCUCGACCAUGAUGGUCUUAGAGGAGCUAGCCUGCGACCUGGAUACUUAUCUGAAAAAGUUUGAAACUGUAACUGACAUCAAAACACUCCAUAGUCCUGCUCUCAUUGAGGAUGCCACUCGAAACUGUCCCACUCCCGAUAUCCUUAUAAAGAACGACAAGAAAAGCUGUCGAAAGAAACCAUCCCCUACGUCGACAUCAUCUGAAAAUCGACCCGAUCUACUUCGAAAUGUUAGUCCAAACUCGGACUGUUACUUGUCCGACGAGAAGAAACUAAGGAUAGCGGUACCUGAUACUAUUCAGAUAGAAUCAAAACGGCAGGUUACCGACAAACAGGAUGAAUUGAAUUCGUAUAGUAUUACCCCGGUGGAUAUUGUUGGGGACUUUGGUCGGGAAGUGGAGCAUGAGUUUGGCCUGAUUGUGUCCGGAUAUAAUUCAAUUGGAAGGUUUUGCGGCGACGAAUCAAUUGCCAAGGAUAUGAGCAACACUUUUGAUAAGAUGACUGAUGCUGCACUCUCGAACUGCAAAGAGGAGAUUUCCGUUAGUUCUGAAAUUAGUCUAUCGACAAGAUCACUUCUCCAAGGCAUGACUACAUGUGAUUCCACCACAUGUGAUCUUGUAAAAACAUCGACACCAGCGGCAUCUCCACUUACAGAUGAUCCACAAAAGCGACCAUUAGAAAUCGCCAACCACGCAUGUAAACAAACGUUCAUGGAGCAAUCUGAGGAAUCGUUGCCACCAGCCUCCAAUGCCUCCACCCCGUCCACAUCGGGUUCUUCGCGAUCAUCUUUGAUACUAUCGCAAAAUUCCGAUCAGGCAAACGAUGAGCACAGAACGUCGACAGUUAAGCUCAUAAACGAAAAUAGCAACGAGAACAGCAUCUGCAAUGGACCAAUCGUUACAGCAACAACAACAACACCGCCGCCCACAAUACCAGCGAUAUCGGAAUCGGGAACGGAGUCUGAAGCGGCUCGAGUCGAUGCUAAUGAGAUCACUAAUGCCCCAACUAGCAGUACCAAUGCCUCGGAAAAGUUCAUACCAACGGCGAUAGUCAAGCCAAAGUACCAAAAGCCAUCGUACGACGAGCGGCAAUUACCUCCAAUCGGCCUGGCCUACUGUAGCGAUCAAGCAGGAUCGCGAGCCUGGUAUGAGCAAAAACCAGUCAAGGACGCGCAUCCACCCACAGCCACUGCUGCAGUCGUACCAACCACGAAUUCCGCCGCGCAUAGUAGUGAAUCGCGAUCGCGGAAAAUCCAUCAGCUUCCCGUGCAUAUUGAUCGUGAUCGGGAUCGUGAUCGUGAUCGUGAUCGAGCCGCCGGUAAAUAUCCUAAAAAAUCGAUCGGUCGUACGCUUUCCUCGGUCCUUGCGCGAACCGAGAGACUCGCGGGUAGUGGCCAGAAUCGCAAGGACUCUGGAUCCUCGACGGGCAGUUGUGUCGCGAUCGUGACGCCACGGAAAAAGGAUAAAAUGGAAAAUUAUACCAGUUUCGGGGGUGGUGUUGGGGAGAAGAGAGUGAUAGGUGGUAGUGCGGGUAGAAAUCUGAUUUAUGAGAAAAAUAAUAACAACAAUAAUAGUGUGAUCAAGUGCAGUAAGGGAAACAACAAUAGGAAGGAGCACGCCCUGAAUUCAGCCAGUUUCGAAAUUUACAGCAUCGAAACAGCCCUUCCAGUCAUCGACUUAGAAGCCAUUGAGAAUCAUCUGAAGAAAGCCAAAGAGGAGGAGCGAAAGAGACGAAAUGAUCGUGAAGAGAUUCGUCGACGAUUGGCGAUGGGCGCUGAGGAUGACUAUUUUAGUAAAAUUGUCAACCAGGAUCGACCCGGCAGGAAACCAAGUUUACAGUCCAGAUUGCAAAAUGGAAUGAAUCUUCAAAUAUGCUUCAUGAACGAAGCAUCCUCUGAUACAGAAAGUCCCAGUUCGGAUUCUGAAACAUGUCCGAAACUAUCAAAGUCGACAAGUAACUCCAGCAAUAUGUCACGUUACAGUAGCUCAUCGUCCGCCCAUAAUCCGUACCAUUCACGACCACUCUCAGUAAAUAUUGUCAAUAAUAACAUCAACACGAUUACUAACAACAAUCACACAAUGGCUAAUAAUAAAAAAUUCAAUAAUCAGAUGAAUCGUCCGUCGACCCUAUCCUUGGGACCACCUGUAAGUGAUGAAGAUGCUGAAGCGGAUUUUUUCACGAAACAGGCAAGACUACAGAUUGAAGCUAGAAUGGCAUUGGCACAAGCAAAAGAUAUGGCGCAUAUGCAAAUGGAGAUCGAGCGUCAAAAACAAAAAGUAUCACCAAUAACCGAAGUCAUACGUAGCUCAAUGGAAAAAGUUGGUGUCCCAUUCCCGCCUGAAAAACGUCGUGUAUCCCGACAAAUGCUUACAGAUAUGAACAUCGCUCAGCUACAGAUUAUCGUGAAUGACCUUCACACCCAAAUCGAACGUCUCAACGAACAACUCGUCCAAUUCCUAAUGGAACGUGAUGACCUACAUAUGGGACAGGAUUCAAUGCUAGUUGACAUUGAGGAUUUGACACGAUACCUGUAAGUUGUGGCUCAAUUGGUUCGCCUAUUUACUAACUCAGUGUAAAAGUAGAUGUUGUUGCAAUUGAAUUUGUAGAAAAGCAAACAGAGGAGCCAAGGAACAGUCGAAAUUGAAUGAGAAAACCUCGUCUACUACUACUGAAACACCAAGUGAUUUUACAAAUCAAAAUCAACAAACAACCACCAUCAACAACUCAACAGCCAAUCAACAGAAUGGCGGUGUGCAAUC
rnacentral:misc_RNA from 1 species